UGAUUCCACUUCUUUGUAGGAUUGCACUGAGAUAGCUGACCCUCAAACAUCAGCAACUGUCUGUAGAGAGGCUGAACGCUGGGCAGACAAGCCCCAGCCUCACCUACUGUUCCCAAGUUCCAUACAGGCACAGUAGCACAGAGCCUCCAGGGCUUGAACACUGCCCUCUAGUGUCAGUGUGAGUCAAAGGUCAGAGGAGACAUUCUGAAGAGAACGUAUCACUCAUUUUCCAGACAUACAGAGAGAGAGAGGCAGAGACACAGGCAGAGGGAGAAGCAGGCUCCGUGCAGGGACCUCGACGUGGGACUCGAUCCCAGGUCUCCAGGAUCACGCUGGGGCUGAAGGUGAUGCUAAACCACUGAGCCACCCAGCUGCUGGAUGACCCUGGAUUUGAGACAUCUCUCAAGGAUUCUGCCCUCACUGUCUAAGGUACCUUCUAGAAACUUUCCUUCUUUCAAUUUUCCCUGCCAAAAUUGAUUUUUUUGAAGUGGGGUUUACCCUGAAAUAAGAGUCAUGAGUGUUGUUUCUUCGGGUGAUAUAUCUUCUACCACUUUUAUCUAACAUCUGAGGAUCACAAUUCCAAAUGAUUUUUCUAAUUGAAGAAAUUGAUUAAAAUGACACCUUGGAAUUUUGAAAGGCAAUACAGCAUAAUGAGCCUGAAAGUCAAAGCUUAGAGCCUGGAGGAGCAUAGGAGACACACAGAAAUUUUGAAAUAAGACAGGAUUCCUCCAAAGGAGCUGAAGAAAAAAAGAUGGUAGCCCUCCCCUUCCCCUCCACAAAGGAAAGCUCACGCAAAGGUUACUUUCCUUGUGAUUAAGAGUCUACACAAUUAAAAUUUUUAAGUGGCUGAUUGAAGGAUAAUGUAGCAGAUUUUAUUCAGCCAAGUAUACCUCAAGGGAAAUUCAGCUUUCCUUUAUUACUUUUACUGCAUGCACACAUUUUCCCUUAGAAAUAAAAAUUAAACCUUUGCACAAUUGCUUCCAAAUGCAGUUUCUCUUCACUCUAAUAAUGGUUUUCAGGAAACAUCUGUAGCAAAUUUAAAUGCUCCUUUUUUAAAAAAUGCAUAGAGUUAUCAAGAAACUGAUGUAAAAUAUGAAUAUAUGUAAGACUGAAUAAACAUCUGUUGCUAACCAUCCGUCCUCUAAGUAACAAAAUGUGCUCAC